rnacentral:snoRNA from 1 species
GGCAACAGUGAUGAGUCCUUGCACAGUUACAGACCUGUGGUGAUUCCUGCGGAAAUGAUUGCAUGAUUCAAAGAAUUAUAUGCUCUCGAUUUU